GAAAAUACUUAAUGGUGCGAGCUUUGCUCUUUGGUCAUUUAACAAAGUUAUUUUACAAAGUUAUAUUUUUAUUUUAUUGUUAUUUUACAAAGUUAUAUAAACUUUCCCGAAAAAAAAACCCUUAGUUUGCAACGGUAAACCCACUCCUUUUAAAUAUUUGUGUAAAAGAACAUUGUGGAGAUAGGAACAUUUUUGUACUUUUUUAACAGAGUCAAGCGGUAAGAUAAUGAUUUAAGCGAAGGUUUCUGCGCGUUCAUUGAAAUAUCUUCACUUCUUAUAGUUUGUUUGAGAAAAUAAAAUUAUCCCCAACAGAAAGCCAUUCACGAGCCUAUGAAAAGAAACUGUUUCUUGUAAAUGUGUCAAGGGAAUGGCCACGAAAGUAAUCAUGAUUAAAGGGAUAUUGGUAUUUUUUGUGCGUUCAGACCUCACCUACUGUACAAGAUGGGCUUUGUUAAUUAACCGUUUUGUUUUAACUAAUUAUGCGAAAAAGUCUAUGCUUCUUAUACUUAUUUUCCCAUCGAUUCCGAAUAACAUUUUAGCGGCUAGAAAAAAAUAUAUUUCUUAGAGCUUCGAUCAAGAGUGGGAUGACAUGUAAAGUAUAAAAACAAAACGAAAUUCUUGAUUUUCAUUACCCGGAUUAAACAAAAACGAUCAUUCUUGUGAUGCAAAUAAAAACAACAUGACAAGAAUAACCCAAUUCGUGACGGAAUAAAAUAAACAUCAACAAUUAUCCAUUCAAUUAUUUUUUUUCAUUUGAAAAAUUAUUAACCAGUGGCAAAAAUUGGACAAAACGCAAAAUUAGAAUUGUCUUCCCUCAUUUUCAAAAUAAUGAUAAGUAAAAAUACGAGGGAACACAUUUUAAAAAAUUGACACCCCCUGUCCAACAGACGAGUGGAAUUGUUAAUUCUAUAGUUCAACCAUACAAAAGCAUGAUGGUUUUGCUUUACCUUUUUGCGCCAAAGGUUGCAAGUCCUUAACAAAAUGACUUGUAUUCAAUUUUGUCAACAAUAAUUAGCAUCUAAACAAAAUACCAAAUGCCUCUACUCGAUAUCGGCCAUUAUCAAGUUUGGUUUUUCAUUCGAAAAAAAAAAAGAAAAAAAACAUAUAUAAUCGGAACAACCGAGUGGUUAAAAAUGAUGCCUAUUAUUAAAAACUGGUAAUACAUAACUGGAAAAUUAGCGUAGAAUUCAAAAAUAAAUUAUUUACGUAUGGGUAUAGUUUAAUUUCAUAACUAUGACUGGUUGCUUAUAUUGUGUGGUACACUUGUCUCAAAAUCUUUACUAGAUUAUAAAAGACUGAAAUCCCUCCAACCAAUAUUAUUUGGUUGGUAUUGUUUUAGAGAAAUUCGCAAACUAACUCGUCUAUGUAAACAAAGCCCGCUGCGAAAAAAAAAAUAUCCAAAACUGCCAAUUGUAGGGCUCCAGCAGCCCGCUAAACAGCCAAUCAGAUCGCGCGUACCAUCGUAGCCAUUUAAGAAAUUUAUAUAUUGUUUUUAACACAUAUACUGAUCAAUAAAUCAAACAAAAAUAGCAUCCUUUCUAAAUCAACCACUAUUUUUUGUAUUGAUUACAUUUUGAAACAAGACGGUCUGCAAGAAAAACCACCGUACCAAUAAAAACCGAUACUUAUAUAAAACGACAUUUGUUUGAAGGUGUACUGCUCUAGCAAGCCUCGAAAUAUUGGGCUGGGGCACAAUAUAGAAACAUUAAGGAAAAAAUUGGGCACAGCCACGCCUCAACUAAAAAUUUCUUAUUUAUGGCGGCAUAAAUACAUUCUUUUAGCAGUGCGGUCUUCAGCCGGUUCAGGAGGAACGCGUAACGCAAUCAUUUCUAUUGUCUCACCGAGGUCACGCAUCAGUCGUGCUGGAAAACUACCGCAGACCGGAAAAGCUGUUUUUUUUUUUUUUCGCGCCCGUGCUCUACAUCCGUGAGCUGAUUGUUGCGUAAGAUAGAGGAAGGUUAGAGGAGUAGAUCGACGUGAAACACGGCCAGAGUUACCAAAUAAAUAUCUAUUUAUCGAAGUUCAACGAUAGCGCACCGACUGUCUUGUCCGCCAUAUUGGAAGAGGAAUGUGGUUCAAGACAACACAAAGAACAAGAAAGCAAAAUUUACUCUUUAGUGUGUUGAUUUUGUAGAGUAGACAAUAAAAACACAAAUCCUUUCUCGUUUUGGUUGAGCGCUUGUAUGGGUUUUAGAUAGCGAAAUAUCCAAUAAAAUGUUGAACCAAGCAAAUUUAUCGUGAAGGCUCUAAUUCCAUCCAUG